AAAGGGUCCGUAGGCGGUUUAGUAAGUCAGUGGUGAAAGCCCAUCGCUCAACGAUGGAACGGCCAUUGAUACUGCUAGACUUGAAUUACUAGGAAGUAACUAGAAUAUGUAGUGUAGCGGUGAAAUGCUUAGAUAUUACAUGGAAUACCAAUUGCGAAGGCAGGUUACUACUAGUGGAUUGACGCUGAUGGACGAAAGCGUGGGGAGCGAACAGGAUUAGAUACCCCUGU
rnacentral:rRNA from 1 species